rnacentral:ncRNA from 1 species
UAGGUGGCCGAGCGAUCGGUAUAACAGGGAAUUCGGUAAGGCCUAGCCAAGUCCGAAGCUGCCCCCGCAACGGUAUGUUCAGUCCUGAGUCCUCACGAAUACCACUGUCAUGAUUGAUGGGAAGGUGUGUGUGAUUCGGCAAAUGGAAUUGCCCUGAACAAGCCCGGAGACCUACCUCACGA